rnacentral:tRNA from 1 species
GGGGGAGUGAGUUAGCGGUCCAUUCGCCCGGCCUCCAAAGCCGGGAACCUGGGUUCGAAUCCCAGCUCCCCCG